UGGGGAAUAUUGGACAAUGGGCGCAAGCCUGAUCCAGCCAUGCCGCGUGUGUGAAGAAGGCCUUAGGGUUGUAAAGCACUUUCAGUGGGGAGAAAGGUCAUUCACCUAAUACGUGAGUGAAUUGAUGUUACCCACAGAAGAAGCACCGGCUAACUCCGUGCCAGCAGCCGCGGUAAUACGGAGGGUGCAAGCGUUAAUCGGAAUUACUGGGCGUAAAGCGCACGUAGGUGGUUUGUUAAGCUAGCUGUGAAAUCCCCGGGCUCAACCUGGGCACUGCAGUUAGAACUGGCAAGCUAGAGUAGGGUAGAGGGGUGUGGAAUUCCAGGUGUAGCGGUGAAAUGCGUAGAUAUCUGGAGGAACAUCAGUGGCGAAGGCGACACCCUGGACUCAUACUGACACUGAGGUGCGAAAGCGUGGGGAGCAAACAGG
rnacentral:rRNA from 1 species